rnacentral:lncRNA from 10 species
AUUUUGAUUUAAGGUCUAUUUUGUUUGAUACCAGUAUGUCCAUCCCUGCUUUCUUUUGGUUACUAUUUGCAUGGAAUAUCUUUUUCCAUUCUUUUACUUUCAAUCUAUUUCUGUCUUUGGAUCUAAAGUGAAACUUUGUAGACAGCAUAUAGUUGGAUUAUCGGUGUUUUUUUUGUUGUUGUUGUUUGUUUUUUAACUCAUUUUGCCAGUUUCUGUGUUUUGCUCUGAGGAUUUAAUCCAGUUAUAUUUAAAGUAAUUACUGAUAAGGAGGGACUUACUUCUGUCAUUCUGCUAUUUAUUUUCUAUGUGAUUUUAGCUUUUUUGUCCCUUAUUUCCUAUAUUACUCUCUUUUUGUGUGUUUGAUUUUUCAAAUGUGAAACAUUUUAAUUUCAUUCUUGUUUCAUUUUGUGUAUAUUCCAUAACUAUUUUCUUUGUGGUUACCAUGGAGAUUACAUUUCACAUCCUAGAUUUGUAAUACUCUGAUUUGAACUUUUACCAGCUUACCGUUAAUAACACAGAAAAACUCUGAUCUUAUACAACUCCAUCCCCAACACUUGUAGAUAGUAAUGUCACAAAAUUACCUCUUUAUACAUUGUGUGUCCAAAAACAUAGAUUAAUAAUUUUUUAACACAUUCGUCUCUUAAAUCACAUAAAAAACAAAAAGUGGAGUACAAACCAAAGUUACAAUAAUAUGAACUUUAAAAUUUUCCCAGGUAUUUGCCUUUACUAGAGAUCCUUAUUUCUUCUCAUGGCACUGAGUUACUGUCCAGUGUCCUUUCAUUUCAACUGGAAGGACUCCCUUUAGCAUUUCUUGCACAGCAGUUCUCUUGGUAACGCAUUCCCUCAAUUGGGAAUGUCUUCAUUUCUCCCUCAGUUUUGGUGGAUAGUUUUGCCAGAUUUAGGAGUCUUGGUUGUCCGUUCUUUUCUUUUAGCACUUUGAACAUGUCAGCCCACUGCCUUCUGCCUUCUGUCUUCUGCCCUCUAAGGUUUCUGAUGAGAAAUCUGAUAAUCUUAGUGAGUAUCCCUUGAAUGUAAUGAGUCACUUCUUUUUUGCUGCUUUCAGUAUUCUCUUUAUGUCUCUGUCUUUUGACAGUUUGAUUAUAAUGUGCCUCAGCGUGAGUCUCUUUGAAUUCAUCCUUCUUGGAGCUCAUUGAGCUUCUUGGGUGUUUAUAUUUAUGUCUUUUUACAUCUGUAUAGUGUGUUAAAAUAAAAAAAAAGUCUUUCAUCAAAUUUGGGUAGUUUUGGCCAUUUCUUAAAAAUAGUCCCUCUUCCUCCUUGUUUCUCUCUUUCCUCUGGAACUCCCACCUUUUCUUCUAUUAGCUGCAUGUUGGUUUUUGUCUGUUACAAAUUGAGCUACUGUAAUCAUUAGUGUGUAGGUCUUUGUGUGGGAAUAUUCUUUCUCUUCUCUUGUGUUAUUAUCUAAAAGUGCAAUGCCUUUGUUGCAGGGUAGGUGAAUAUUUUACAUUUUAAGAAACUGCCAAAUUGUGUUCUAAAGUUAUUAUACCAUUUUACAUCCCCUGCCUCCCUGAUUGUGAGCAAGAGUUCCAGUUUCGUCACAUAAUCACCAACAAUUGCUAUGAUCUGUGUUUUUAAUGUUUAUAAUGCUACUAGGGAUGGAGUAAUAGUAUCUUAUUGUAGUUUUAACUUGCAUUUCUCUAAGGCUUCAUGAUUUUGAGCAUAUUUUAAAUCAUGUUUUUAUUUGCCACCCAUAUAACUUCUAUGGUAAAAUGUCUACUGAUAUCUCUUGCCUAUUUUAAAAGUAAAUAUUAGUUGAUAUUGAAAUAGUAAAGAAAUUUUUUGGAACUGCAGUCAUUUAUUAAUAAUGCCAGUGACUUAUUUGUUUUGUAGGGUAAUUUUGAAUAUUGGAAGAAUAUUUCCUCAAAAUUUUGUGCUGUUCACAAUGGGAAACUAGAGACAUGAAACACUUUUAAGUUUAAUCUGAAUUAUUAACAUAUUCUCUGCUUUCUUAAGUCUACCUGGUCAAUAAAACAACAGAUCAAGUUCUGGUUUGUAGUGUUUACCAAUACCCUAGGUGUAAAUACUUCUGUCUUGGCCAAUUUCAAGCUACAACAUGAUGUCUCUGAAUAUGGAGUUGGGAAGAUAUGUGCAAUAGCACGCCAUUGUAUUCUGUUUCCACUGAAUAGAUGCAAUAAACGUAAAUAACCUCU